rnacentral:lncRNA from 1 species
UUCCAACAACUUGCCAUGCCAAAAAGAAGAUGAGAAAUGAUCUUGUAUUGGUUUAAGCCCUUUGUAUGAUUUAGAAAGCAACCUAUCCUUAAUGCAAAGCAAUUCACUUGAUCAUUUGAUCAAGAUGAAUUAGAUUUGAAUCAAGGAAGAUUAAACCUCCCUAAUCAAUGCUAACUUAUCAACCUUUAACUCAUUGAUCAAAAA